GAGAAAGGUGCAGAAAAAAUUGGAAUUGAAUCGUAGAAUUAUCCAGAAAAAGUCACUUUACAAUACUUAGUCAUAAAGUGAUCAGUAAUUGUCUGUCAGUAUACUUAGCAGUGAUAUUUUGAGUUUCAACUGAUGUCUAUUUUCAGGUUUGGUCAGGCAAGUAUACAAUACCAAGUCUAUUUGUUUUUGUUACUACGAGUCUCCUAAGCUAACUGCGUUUUCCCUACAUAUAUAAAACAACGCUAAUAUAUAACACUUUAAACUCUCGCGUUUUGUACACUUUAAUUUUAAAAGGUAAAACAAUAAAAUUAUAUAGCGGUAAACCCGUCUGUGUAAUUAUAUAACGCUGAUAUAAUUUUAUCGUUAUUAACAUACUUAAAGGAUUUGGCAAACUAUAAAAUGCACCUUUAAAUUUUUCCAAUAUUCCGGCAACUUCUUUUUUUGACAAGAGUGCUGUUCUUUUUAGACAAGCGCAUCCACACAGUUGUUUUUUUUUAAUAUUCUAUCUAGCUUAGCAAAUAAGUUAUUACUGCUAGUUUUUUUGUAAAAAAUAUUAUUUACUAUAUUGUUCUAACCAGUCCUAACAAGCAAUAAAUAAAUAAACAAAACUUCAUCAUGCUUUACAAGCUGUGCUAAUCCAUACUUUGUCACCGGAUUGUUUCAAUUUGUUCAUUAAUUAGUGAGUGCUAAAAGGUUUUUACAGCACAUAUGGUGCUCCACUAACACACCCUAUGCUAUAAGCACAUUACGUAAGUACGUCGAAAAUUUAAAGGACCAUAAUGUGUACUGUAAAACGUUGUAAGAUGCACGUGCAAAUAAGUAGGAAAUUCCCAACUCGUGUCGAUUUAAAACACUACCUUUGGUCGUGUUUUAAAAUUCGCCACUCGUUGCGAAUUUCGCACUUGUAUUAUAAUAGUACAUUUCGAUGCUAGUGCGGAAGGUAUGUCAUUACUAAGAAUGACAUUUCCGCACGUGUAUCGAACGACGUUUUUUAAUACAGUUGCGAAAAAAUAAGAAAAACAUUGUUAAUCGUACACUAAACAAAAGUGGUAACAGUGACAGCUCGGUUAGACGUCGUCUUUAAGUAUAUUAUAUCUAUGGGCGUUUGGCAGCUAUUCCGUUCCAUUCAGUCAACUUAUUAAGAACGGAAUUAUCAAUAUUGAAUAUUAAAAAAUAAACGUGUUAUAUAAUGAUGAAGAGGUAAGUAAUUAAAUAUGAAAUAUGUAAUAUUUUUCGUAUUCUUACAUUAACGGUAGGUUUUUAUGCUGAUUACGACGUUUAAAGGAAACUAAUAUUAACACUCAUCAAUAAGUAGUCGUGAAUUGGAACAAGUAUAAAUUUAAAAAAAUUGGAAAAGUAAAAAGCACUAGUUCGAGAUAACCAACUUUCCGCACGCUAAACAGCUACGUAAAGUAGCACUUUUUGAGCAACUGUAUUAAAAAUAACUAUUAUUUUUCAGUAAAAAUGUACAAACUAGCGAACGCUAAGAUCUCCAGCGGGCGACUGUCGUUGGCUACAUUACUUCGCCUCCGUGUUCUCCUGGGCCACUAUUGCCCCGUCAGCCCGCGCGUCACAUUGCGUCUCUUCUCUUGGAUCUACUGCCUUUUACUGCCUCACUUACUUUGCAUUUAUGCUACAGAAUAUUUAGCUAGCCGCGAGAUCAAAAUCUUUCGUGUAUUACCAUUAUUGAUAGAAUACUGUGCUAAUGCUCUUCUAUCAUUACUAACUGGACAAGAAUAUUUUUUCAAAUUUGUGAAAGGAGUCGAGCUGAUAGAUAGCGAAAUGGGCUUCGAUCAUCUACCUUUAAUAACGCCAGCAACGGAAUAUAUAUUUUCCAUGAUCCUAGUUACAAAAACAUUGAUUGGGUUUAUAUCUGUUUUUAUUCAUAGAACGGGCAUUUAUUUAGUAUUGUCUUCGACGAUAAUGACGGUGGCAUCCGCUCUUAAUUGCUUAUCUUCGUCUUUGCCUUUCGAUUUGUUACGUCUCCGUAUAAGGUUGCUUCGCCAAGCCCUGAUAAGUAACUUGAGCCCAUCGAUAAACAAUACAGAGGAUAAAAUAAAAAUACUUUGGGAUAACUUAAGAUUGUACAAUAAGUUGGUUGACAAAUUUACCAGUACAUUCCACUGGCAUAAACUGCAGAUAACUAUUACCACGUGUUGCUGUUUCUUUUCAUUUAUUAUAAACGGUUAUUUUGCUUCUUUCGCAAUAAAAUAUUCUAAAGAUAGUGGAGUCGGAGUCGAUCAAGUGUAUAUCAUAAUAGGUUUUGUUUUGUUUGCUGCACCAUCUUGUCUACCAUCGCUUUUCUGCGAGCUAGCUCACCGGGAAGUCGACAAACUGAAAGCCGCCGUCGGUAACUUGCUGCUUCUUUGCGAAGAUGAUGAACUACAAUCGGAGCUGCAGCUAGCGGUUGAAUAUUUGGAUCAUCGUCCCUUCAGAGUGUCCAUCUGCCACGUGUGGUCUCUCGACGGCUCUUUCAUACUAACUUUCGUCGGCCUCUGCACCGCCUAUCUUAUCACCAUCGUGCAGAUAUUUGGCAUCAUUUAGUUUAAAGCCAUUCAGGGGUCGGAAACCGGUAUUUGCUCCAUACAAAAAUACCGGUAUUAUUACGUUCGUUUUCGUUCUUUGGUUUAUUAUUUCAUUUUUAAUGGGACAAUCUAAUAAUACGAAGUUGUUACCUAAAUACAUGAUUCAAUCCUACGUACAGAGCAUAACAUAAUUCAAAAUAUUGACUAUUUCGGGGUUUUUUAAAAAUACCGGUUCCGAGCCCUGCAUUCAUUACUCUCCGUCCUCCAUCAUCGUUGAUAUCAUUAUUAGCUAACCUUAGUUGACGGCACUAUUUGCAACACCAUCAUUUGGAUUCAUUAAAAUUAUUAUUUAGGUUAUAAUUACGGAUUUUACAUAGUUUUUUCGACUUAAUAAUACGUGAGGACGCGUUGAAAAUUAUUAUAAUAUUAUGUUCGAGUUUCACAGGAGUUCUAUAGUUAGAACUAUUUGGAUUGUUAGAUUGCUAUUUAUAGUCUAUCACCAUGGUAGGUUUUGUAAUAUUAUAUGUAGAUAGAAGGAUUAAUUAAUGUCUAAUUGAGUUUUGUGGGAUUCAAUGUACACCCUUGCCGUAAAUAUGUAAAUUUGCACCCUUGUGACACAAUCUACUAUUUAAGUUUAAAGUUAAUGUAGUGUUUCUAGAUUCUAAUUACUCAAAUCAAAAAAUAAUAAUAAA